UGCAGUCACGGGGGCCCGCAAGGGUAACCGGCGAACGGGUGCGUAACACGUGAGCAAUCUGCCGAUGUCUGGGGGAUAGCCGGGCCAACGCCCGGGUAAUACCGCAUACGCUUGUUGGGGGACAUCCCCUGGCAAGGAAACCUCCGGGGGACAUCGAGGAGCUCGCGGCCUAUCAGCUAGUUGGUGAGGUAACGGCUCACCAAGGCGACGACGGGUAGCUGGUCUGAGAGGAUGGCCAGCCACAUUGGGACUGCGACACGGCCCAGACUCCUACGGGAGGCAGCAGUGGGGAAUAUUGCGCAAUGGACGAAAGUCUGACGCAGCGACGCCGCGUGUAGGAUGACGCCUUUCGGGGUGUAAACUACUGUUGCCCGGGACGAACAUCCUCUUUCGAGAGGACUGACGGUACCGGGUGAGGAAGCACCGGCUAACUCUGUGCCAGCAGCCGCGGUAAUACAGAGGGUGCGAGCGUUGUCCGGAAUCACUGGGCGUAAAGGGCGCGUAGGUGGCUUGGUAAGCGUGUGGUGAAAGCUCGGGGCUCAGCCCCGAGUCUGCCGUGCGAACUGCCGAGCU
rnacentral:rRNA from 1 species